CGGCGAGUGAAGCGGCAAGAGCUCAAAUUUGAAAUCUGGCCCCUUCGGGGUCCGAGUUGUAAUUUGUAGAGGAUGCUUCGGGUGCGGCCCCCGUCUAAGUGCUCUGGAACGGGCCAUCGGAGAGGGUGAGAAUCCCGUCUGGGACGGGGUGUCCGCGUCCAUGUGAAGCUCCUUCGACGAGUCGAGUUGUUUGGGAAUGCAGCUCUAAAUGGGUGGUAAAUUUCAUCUAAAGCUAAAUACUGGCCGGAGACCGAUAGCGCACAAGUAGAGUGAUCGAAAGAUGAAAAGCACUUUGAAAAGAGAGUUAAACAGCACGUGAAAUUGUUGAAAGGGAAGCGCUUGCGACCAGACUCGCUUCCGGGGUUCAGCCGGCUUUCGGGCCGGUGUACUUCCCCGGGGGCGGGCCAGCGUCGGUUUGGGCGGCCGGUCAAAGGCCCCUGGAAUGUAACGCCCCUCGGGGCGCCUUAUAGCCAGGGGUGUCAUGCGGCCAGCCUGGACCGAGGAACGCGCUUCGGCACGGACGCUGGCAUAAUGGUCGUAAACGACCCGUCUUGAAACACGGACCAAGGAGUCUAACAUCUACGCGAGUGUUCGGGUGUCAAACCCGUGCGCGCAGUGAAAGCGAACGGAGGUGGGAGCCCCCUCGAGGGGCGCACCAUCGACCGAUCCUGAUGUCUUCGGAUGGAUUUGAGUAAGAGCGUAGCUGUGGGGACCCGAAAGAUGGUGAACUAUGCCUGAAUAGGGCGAAGCCAGAGGAAACUCU
rnacentral:rRNA from 1 species